rfam:Homo sapiens chromosome 6 genomic contig, GRCh38 reference assembly alternate locus group ALT_REF_LOCI_4.
GGGGGUAUAGCUCAGCGGUAGAGCGCGUGCUUAGCAUGCACGAGGUCCUGGGUUCAAUCCCCAAUACCUCCA